CGGCGGACGGGUGAGUAACACGUGGAUAACCUACCUAUAAGACUGGGAUAACUUCGGGAAACCGGAGCUAAUACGGAUAAUAUAUUGAACCGCAUGGUUCAAUAGUGAAAGACGGUUUUGCUGUCACUUAUAGAUGGAUCCGCGCCGCAUUAGCUAGUUGGUAAGGUAACGGCUUACCAAGGCAACGAUGCGUAGCCGACCUGAGAGGGUGAUCGGCCACACUGGAACUGAGACACGGUCCAG
rnacentral:rRNA from 1 species